rnacentral:rRNA from 1 species
GUGGGGAAUAUUGGACAAUGGGCGCAAGCCUGAUCCAGCAAUGCCGCGUGUGUGAAGAAGGCCUGCGGGUUGUAAAGCACUUUAAGCGGGGAAGAAGGGCUUGAGGUUAACAGCCUCGGGCAUUGACGUUACCUGCAGAAUAAGCACCGGCUAACUCCGUGCCAGCAGCCGCGGUAAUACGGAGGGUGCGAGCGUUAAUCGGAAUUACUGGGCGUAAAGCGUGCGUAGGCGGUUCGAUCAGUCUGAUGUGAAAGCCCUGGGCUUAACCUGGGAAUGGCGUUGGAAACUGUCGAGCUAGAGUGUGGGAGAGGGGCGUGGAAUUUCCGGUGUAGCAGUGAAAUGCGUAGAGAUCGGAAGGAACACCAGUGGCGAAGGCGGCGCCCUGGACCAACACUGACGCUGAGGUACGAAAGCGUGGGGAGCAAACAGGAUUAGAAACCCUUGUAGUCC